rnacentral:tRNA from 1 species
AAGAAGACAGCUAAAUGAAGUGUUAAAUUGUAGCUUUAAUUAUGGGUUACUCCCUCUUCUUA